AGAGAGUGCAAGCGUUAAUCGGAAUAACUGGGCGUAAAGCGCGCGUAGGUGGAUAUUUUAGUCGGAUGUGAAAGCCCCGGGCUUAACCUGGGGGUUGCACUCGAUACUGGGUAUCUAGAGUAUGGUAGAGGGAAGUGGAAUUUCCGGUGUAGCGGUGAAAUGCGUAGAUAUCGGAAGGAACACCAGUGGCGAAGGCGACUUCCUGGACUAAUACUGACACUGAGGUGCGAAAGCGUGGGGAGCAAACAGGAUUAGAGACCCUGGUAGUCCACGCUGUCAACGAUGAGAACUAGACGUUGGGGGGGGUAACCCCUUUAGUGUCGAAGCUAACGCGUUAAGUUCUCCGCCUGGGGAGUACGGCCGCGAGGUUA
rnacentral:rRNA from 1 species